rnacentral:lncRNA from 1 species
GUGCUAGGAUUAUUGCAAAAAUUGAUAGGCAAAUGCAGGUAAAGUGAGAUUUUGAUGGGGCAAAGAAUUCUAAUGGAUAAUAUAUUGAACAAAGAUUCACAUUCUGAUCCUUGCAAUCUUGGCCUAGAGACUUGGAGAACAAUGAGUUUACUCACUGCUGGCUGCUUAAUGGAGAAUGCUACGUUGGAUAGUGAGGUACGUUGAUGGUUGGAGAGAAUUUUUUUCUUUAUUUUUUAGAAAAAAUGUUUCACGGCUUACUCAAUAAUCUAUAUCCUUGCCACAUAUCUCACUUAC